UACAGAGGGCGCGAGCGUUAAUCGGAAUUACUGGGCGUAAAGCGCACGUAGGUGGCGACGUAAGUCGGGUGUGAAAGCCCCGGGCUCAACCUGGGAAUUGCAUUCGAGACUGCAUUGCUGGAGUACGGAAGAGGAGGGCGGAAUUCCCGGUGUAGCGGUGAAAUGCGUAGAGCUCGGGAGGAACAUCAGUGGCGAAGGCGGCCCUCUGGUCCAGUACUGACGCUCAAGUGCGAAAGCGUGGGGAGCAAACAGG
rnacentral:rRNA from 1 species